AACGAACGCUGGCGGCAGGCCUAACACAUGCAAGUCGAACGCUCCGCAAGGGGGAGUGGCGCACGGGUGAGUAACACGUGGGAACCUACCUUCUGGUACGGAACAACCAAGGGAAACUUUGGCUAAGACCGUAUACGACCUCCGGGUGAAAGAUUGAUCGCCGGAAGAGGGGCCCGCGUCCGAUUAGGUAGUUGGUGAGGUAACGGCUCACCAAGCCUUCGAUCGGUAGCUGGUCUGAGAGGAUGACCAGCCACACUGGGACUGAGACACGGCCCAGACUCCUACGGGAGGCAGCAGUGGGGAAUAUUGGACAAUGGGCGCAAGCCUGAUCCAGCCAUGCCGCGUGAGUGAUGAAGGCCUCGG
rnacentral:rRNA from 1 species